UUCUUAGGUGUCACAUCACUAAUGACUUCUUGAUCCACAGCCUAUGGAAAUUGGUAAAAGGACUUGAAUCCACCACGAAAUUGAUGGAGGCAGAGGGCCAAUCCCUCUUAAUGGUUGCCUGCUUGGAUCUACCUGUCCCCAUUCAUGAGCUUGUGAAACUGUGCAGGCUAACCAUCUCCUCUUCUGUUAAUCCAUGCCCCCUGCCAGCUACAAUGAUACCUAGCGUUUCUCCG
rnacentral:misc_RNA from 1 species